UACGAAGGGUGCAAGCGUUGUUCGGAAUCAUUGGGCGUAAAGCGCGCGCAGGCGGAUCAGCAAGUCAGAUGUGAAAUCUCGAAGCUCAACUUCGAAACUGCGUCUGAAACUGCUAGUCUAGAGUGUCGGAGGGGGCAGGGGAAUUUCACGUGUAGGGGUAAAAUCCGUAGAGAUGUGAAGGAACACCGGGGGCGAAGGCGCCUGCCUGGACGACUACUGACGCUGAGGUGCGAAAGCGUGGGGAGCAAACAGG
rnacentral:rRNA from 1 species